CACNUGCNAGUCGAGGGGCAGCAUUUCAGUUUGCUUGCAAACUGGAGAUGGCGACCGGCGCACGGGUGAGUAACACGUAUCCAACCUGCCGAUAACUCGGGGAUAGCCUUUCGAAAGAAAGAUUAAUACCCGAUGGCAUAAUAAAACCGCAUGGUUUUUUUAUUAAAGAAUUUCGGUUAUCGAUGGGGAUGCGUUCCAUUAGGCAGUUGGUGAGGUAACGGCUCACCAAACCUUCGAUGGAUAGGGGUUCUGAGAGGAAGGUCCCCCACAUUGGAACUGAGACACGGUCCAAACUCCUACGGGAGGCAGCAGUGAGGAAUAUUGGUCAAUGGGCGCAGGCCUGAACCAGCCAAGUAGCGUGAAGGAUGACUGCCCUAUGGGUUGUAAACUUCUUUUAUAUGGGAAUAAAGUUUUCCACGUGUGGAAUUUUGUAUGUACCAUAUGAAUAAGGAUCGGCUAACUCCGUGCCAGCAGCCGCGGUAAUACGGAGGAUCCGAGCGUUAUCCGGAUUUAUUGGGUUUAAAGGGAGCGUAGGUGGACAGUUAAGUCAGUUGUGAAAGUUUGCGGCUCAACCGUAAAAUUGCAGUUGAUACUGGCUGUCUUGAGUACAGUAGAGGUGGGCGGAAUUCGUGGUGUAGCGGUGAAAUGCUUAGAUAUCACGAAGAACUCCGAUUGCGAAGGCAGCUCACUGGACUGCAACUGACACUGAUGCUCGAAAGUGUGGGUAUCAAACAGGAUUAGAUACCCUGGUAGUCCACACAGUAAACGAUGAAUACUCGCUGUUUGCGAUAUACAGUAAGCGGCCAAGCGAAAGCAUUAAGUAUUCCACCUGGGGAGUACGCCGGCAACGGUGAAACUCAAAGGAAUUGACGGGGGCCCGCACAAGCGGAGGAACAUGUGGUUUAAUUCGAUGAUACGCGAGGAACCUUACCCGGGCUUAAAUUGCAUUUGAAUAUAUUGGAAACAGUAUAGCCGUAAGGCAAAUGUGAAGGUGCUGCAUGGUUGUCGUCAGCUCGUGCCGUGAGGUGUCGGCUUAAGUGCCAUAACGAGCGCAACCCUUAUCUUUAGUUACUAACAGGUCAUGCUGAGGACUCUAGAGAGACUGCCGUCGUAAGAUGUGAGGAAGGUGGGGAUGACGUCAAAUCAGCACGGCCCUUACGUCCGGGGCUACACACGUGUUACAAUGGGGGGUACAGAAGGCAGCUACCUGGUGACAGGAUGCUAAUCCCAAAAGCCUCUCUCAGUUCGGAUCGAAGUCUGCAACCCGACUUCGUGAAGCUGGAUUCGCUAGUAAUCGCGCAUCAGCCAUGGCGCGGUGAAUACGUUCCCGGGCCUUGUACACACCGCCCGUCAAGCCAUGAAAGCCGGGGGUACCUGAAGUACGUAACCGCAAGGAG
rnacentral:rRNA from 1 species